rnacentral:sRNA from 1 species
GAGCAUCGUAGCCACGACGCGCGGCAGA